GCACUGGUGGUUCAGUGGUAGAAUUCUUGUCUUCCAUGAGAGAGAUCCAGGUUCGAUUCCCCGCCAAUGCA
rfam:Loxodonta africana unplaced genomic scaffold scaffold_9, whole genome shotgun sequence.